UACGGAGGGGGCUAGCGUUAUUCGGAAUUACUGGGCGUAAAGCGCACGUAGGCGGCUUUGUAAGUCAGAGGUGAAAGCCUGGAGCUCAACUCCAGAACUGCCUUUGAGACUGCAUCGCUUGAAUCCAGGAGAGGUGAGUGGAAUUCCGAGUGUAGAGGUGAAAUUCGUAGAUAUUCGGAAGAACACCAGUGGCGAAGGCGGCUCACUGGACUGGUAUUGACGCUGAGGCACGAAAGCGUGGGGAGCAAACAGG
rnacentral:rRNA from 1 species